rnacentral:rRNA from 1 species
UACGUAGGGUGCGAGCGUUAAUCGGAAUUACUGGGCGUAAAGCGCACGUAGGCGGACUCUUAAGUCAGGGGUGAAAUCCUGGAGCUCAACUCCAGAACUGCCUUUGAUACUGGGAGUCUUGAGUUCGGGAGAGGUGAGUGGAACUGCGAGUGUAGAGGUGAAAUUCGUAGAUAUUCACAAGAACACCAGUGGCGAAGGCGGCUCACUGGACUGGUAUUGACGCUGAGGUGCGAAAGCGUGGGGAGCAAACAGG